rnacentral:lncRNA from 7 species
GAAGCUGCUGCCUCCUCAGCCAAGAUCUUCCUCAUUUUUAGGGGUGUACUUCUAACAGCUCUCCUGCAGCUAUCAGCACAUGCCGGUGGACUUGUUAUAGCACGCUGAACGGCACGUUCUUGCUGGCUCACUGGGGCCUGAUCCAAAGCUUACUGCAGGCAAUGAGGAAGAUUCGUGGACUUCUUCAGUGGCCUUUGGACUGCCCUGCGGACACAGAAGCACAAUGGCUGGGAUCUGCAGAGCGGAAUAUUCAGCUCAGGAGCUAGGAGUUUCUGAUAAAUCACCGCAGGGAUUUACCCCAGGGUCUCUUCUACAGUGUUUCAAGUAAAGAGGAUGCUGGGAUGGAGUAUUUAGCUAACAGCGUAAUCAUGCAGUGAUGAACUGCGGAGUUCACAGCCAAAGAACUGAUCUGCAAGCAAUGCUGGAGGCCUCCCGGCAGACAGCAUGUCACGUCCACUGCCACGUGCUGUAUCCUUGAAAGCAGACUGUCACGAGGGGAGUUGGAGGUCUAGUUCAGCUUGAAAAGAUACAGCUUUGUAUGAAAUGCCAUAUGCUGCCUGACGAAGCUUUCCUUUAAGGUUGUACCUUAUGCAUUCGCGUAAGCCUGUGAAAAGGAGCAAAAACAAAUGCUUGGAUCUGAUUUCUGUCUUCCUCUGGAUCUUUGGAUCAGUUCUAACUCCCACCCAGCCUCAUUCAUUGAUUCUGAUGGUGGUAUCCGGAGCACCUGCUGUGGGCAAAACUGUUCUUACAUCAUCUUACAAACACAGUGACCUCAAACAUGAAAUCAUGAGCUCUUGAUCAACACAAGAAUUACCAAAGGUAGAAAGCGUUCUGCCGUACAAGAACACAAGAGAAUGGUCCAGCAGAGCAGCAGUCUGAAUGGGGGAGUUCGUGGCACUCCUGCGAUGGCGAGAUCAGAAUCGGCUCCAACAUCUCUGAAGGGCUACGCCAUUUGUUCACACCGCAGUUCAACAGCUUUAAACAUCUCGUGGCAAAGCUGCGGUACAACUGCUCUAAAGCUUCACGAGCACGCUGAGGCCCACCUCCUUCCUUCCUGCAAAGGUCGGGCAGCUGGAGGCAGUGACACCAGGUGAAGCUGAGCAUGCUCAUCACUUGGGAAACCCAGGCCCCUGGUGAUCUUCUCUGACGUUAAUUGACUGUCAGACCCUGCAAGAGGGGAGGCAACACCUUUCCUGAUCUGUGGUCUGGAGUAGUGUUUUCCAGACUCUGGAGUGAAUUUCACGUUGUUGCAAAGGAAACGAUGAUGCAGUCCUCCAGCAGCUGCUGUGCUCCAGCAUCCUUGCAAAGGGGUUGAACAGUGGAAAAAGAACUGGGAUGAUGCCAUAGUGCUCUCCAAGAGGAGAUGUGAGUGGGGCAAGCACUGCAUGUUGCUCUUGCAGCCAAGCGGUGAGCCAACGGUGGAAGGUCUGCUCUUGUUGCUAAUAAAGCUGUAUCGCUUCUGCC